rnacentral:lncRNA from 1 species
UAAAAGUGAUGAGGGUAUAUUCCUGGGAUACUCUACUAACAGUAGAGCAUACAGAGUUUUCAACUCCAUAACUACCGUCCUGAUGGAAUCCAUAAAUGUUAUUGUUGAUGAUAAAGAUGAAGAAUCCAAUGUCAUAGAGGAUGUUGGAACGUUCCUUGAGACUUCAACAGAAAACGUACAGGAUACUCCUCCUGGACUUGAGUUAGAAGCAUCCAACAAGGUGCCUUCUAU